rnacentral:rRNA from 1 species
UACGUAGGGGGCGAGCGUUGUCCGGAGUUACUGGGCGUAAAGGGCAUGCAGGCGGUCCGACACGUUUUGUGUGACAGCGGGUGGCUUAACUACCCGAGGAUACGAAAGACGGUAGGACUUGAGGACUCGAGAGGGACACGGAAUUCCGGGUGGAGUGGUGAAAUGCGUAGAGAUCCGGAGGAACACCAAAGGCGAAGGCAGUGUCCUGGCGAGUGACUGACGCUGAGGUGCGAAAGCCAGGGGAGCGAACGGG